rnacentral:piRNA from 1 species
CCACGGGACUCAGCAGUGAUAAAA